CGGGGAUACUCCUAUAANACGAAAAGACCCCAUGGAGCUUCAAACCCAACUACACCCUUAACUACCACAACCGCACAACCUCUUAGGGCCCUGUAUAGUUGGUUUUAGGUUGGGGCGACCACGGAGUACAACCAAACCUCCGCAAUGGACGGGACCACUCCCUUAUCUAAGAGCCACACCUCUAAGAAUUAAAACACUAACAUAAAAUGAUCCAUGAUCUGAUCAAUGAACCAAGUUACCCUGGGGAUAACAGCGCAAUCCAUUUCAAGAGCCCUUAUCGACAAGUGGGUUUACGACCUCGAUGUUGGAUCAGGGUAUCCUAGUGGUGCAGCAGCUACUAAUGGUUCGUUUGUUCAACGAUUAAAACCCU
rnacentral:rRNA from 1 species